UACGUAGGGUGCGAGCGUUGUCCGGAAUUAUUGGGCGUAAAGGGCUCGUAGGCGGUUUGUCGCGUCGGGAGUGAAAAACACCGGGCUUAACUCGGUGCUUGCUUUCGAUACGGGCAGACUAGAGGUAUGCAGGGGAGAACGGAAUUCCUGGUGUAGCGGUGAAAUGCGCAGAUAUCAGGAGGAGCACCGGUGGCGAAGGCGGUCUCUGGGCAUUACCUGACGCUGAGGAGCGAAAGUGUGGGAGCGAACAGG
rnacentral:rRNA from 1 species